CCAAACACGCUACUGUUACCAGGAACCUGGAGGGGACAGAGUGCCAGGUAGGUAGAGACCCUGCACCUCCCCAAACACGCUACUGUUACCAGGAACCUGGAGGGGACAGAGUGCCAGGUAGGUAGAGACCCUGCACCUCCCCAAACACGCUACUGUUACCAGGAACCUGGAGGGGACAGAGUGCCAGGUAGGUAGAGACCCUGCCCCAAACACGCUACUGUUACCAGGAACCUGGAGGGGACAGAGUGCCAGGUAGGUAGAGACCCUGCACCUCCCCAAACACGCUACUGUUACCAGGAACCUGGAGGGGACAGAGUGCCAGGUAGGUAGAGACCCUGCCCCAAACACGCUACUGUUACCAGGAACCUGGAGGGGACAGAGUGCCAGGUAAGUAGAGACCCUGCCCCUCCCCAAACACGCUACUGUUACCAGGAACCUGGAGGGGACAGAGUGCCAGGUAGGUAGAGACCCUGCCCCAAACACGCUACUGUUACCAGGAACCUGGAGGGGACAGAGUGCCAGGUAGGUAGAGACCCUGCCCCAAACACGCUACUGUUACCAGGAACCUGGAGGGGACAGAGUGCCAGGUAGGUAGAGACCCUGCACCUCCCCAAACACGCUACUGUUACCAGGAACCUGGAGGGGACAGAGUGCCAGGUAGGUAGAGACCCUGCCCCAAACACGCUACUGUUACCAGGAACCUGGAGGGGACAGAGUGCCAGGUAGGUAGAGACCCUGCCCCAAACACGCUACUGUUACCAGGAACCUGGAGGGGACAGAGUGCCAGGUAGGUAGAGACCCUGCCCCAAACACGCUACUGUUACCAGGAACCUGGAGGGGACAGAGUACCAGGUAGGUAGAGACCCUGCCCCAAACACGCUACUGUUACCAGGAACCUGGAGGGGACAGAGUGCCAGGUAGGUAGAGACCCUGCACCUCCCCAAACACGCUACUGUUACCAGGAACCUGGAGGGGACAGAGUGCCAGGUAGGUAGAGACCCUGCCCCAAACACGCUACUGUUACCAGGAACCUGGAGGGGACAGAGUGUCAGGUAGGUAGAGACCCUGCCCCAAACACGCUACUGUUACCAGGAACCUGGAGGGGACAGAGUGCCAGGUAGGUAGAGACCCUGCCCCAAACACGCUACUGUUACCAGGAACCUGGAGGGGACAGAGUGCCAGGUAGGUAGAGACCCUGCCCCAAACACGCUACUGUUACCAGGAACCUGGAGGGGACAGAGUGCCAGGUAGGUAGAGACCCUGCCCCAAACACGCUACUGUUACCAGGAACCUGGAGGGGACAGAGUGCCAGGUAGGUAGAGACCCUGCCCCAAACACGCUACUGUUACCAGGAACCUGGAGGGGACAGAGUGCCAGGUAGGUAGAGACCCUGCACCUCCCCAAACACGCUACUGUUACCAGGAACCUGGAGGGGACAGAGUGCCAGGUAGGUAGAGACCCCGCACCUCCCCAAACACGCUACUGUUACCAGGAACCUGGAGGGGACAGAGUGCCAGGUAGGUAGAGACCCUGCCCCUCCCCAAACACGCUACUGUUACCAGGAACCUGGAGGGGACAGAGUGCCAGGUAGGUAGAGACCCUGCCCCAAACACGCUACUGUUACCAGGAACCUGGAGGGGACAGAGUGCCAGGUAGGUAGAGACCCUGCCCCAAACACGCUACUGUUACCAGGAACCUGGAGGGGACAGAGUGCCAGGUAGGUAGAGACCCUGCCCCAAACACGCUACUGUUACCAGGAACCUGGAGGGGACAGAGUGCCAGGUAGGUAGAGACCCUGCCCCAAACACGCUACUGUUACCAGGAACCUGGAGGGGACAGAGUGCCAGGUAGGUAGAGACCCUGCACCUCCCCAAACACGCUACUGUUACCAGGAACCUGGAGGGGACAGAGUGCCAGGUAGGUAGAGACCCUGCCCCAAACACGCUACUGUUACCAGGAACCUGGAGGGGACAGAGUGCCAGGUAGGUAGAGACCCUGCCCCAAACACGCUACUGUUACCAGGAACCUGGAGGGGACAGAGUGCCAGGUAGGUAGAGACCCCGCCCCAAACACGCUACUGUUACCAGGAACCUGGAGGGGACAGAGUGCCAGGUAGGUAGAGACCCUGCCCCAAACACGCUACUGUUACCAGGAACCUGGAGGGGACAGAGUGCCAGGUAGGUAGAGACCCUGCCCCAAACACGCUACUGUUACCAGGAACCUGGAGGGGACAGAGUGCCAGGUAGGUAGAGACCCUGCACCUCCCCAAACACGCUACUGUUACCAGGAACCUGGAGGGGACAGAGUGUCAGGUAGGUAGAGACCCUGCCCCAAACACGCUACUGUUACCAGGAACCUGGAGGGGACAGAGUGCCAGGUAGGUAGAGACCCCGCCCCAAACACGCUACUGUUACCAGGAACCUGGAGGGGACAGAGUGUCAGGUAGGUAGAGACCCUGCACCUCCCCAAACACGCUACUGUUACCAGGAACCUGGAGGGGACAGAGUGCCAGGUAGGUAGAGACCCUGCCCCAAACACGCUACUGUUACCAGGAACCUGGAGGGGACAGAGUGCCAGGUAGGUAGAGACCCUGCCCCAAACACGCUACUGUUACCAGGAACCUGGAGGGGACAGAGUGCCAGGUAGGUAGAGACCCUGCCCCAAACACGCUACUGUUACCAGGAACCUGGAGGGGACAGAGUGCCAGGUAGGUAGAGACCCUGCACCUCCCCAAACACGCUACUGUUACCAGGAACCUGGAGGGGACAGAGUGCCAGGUAGGUAGAGACCCUACCCCAAACACGCUACUGUUACCAGGAACCUGGAGGGGACAGAGUGCCAGGUAGGUAGAGACCCUGCCCCAAACACGCUACUGUUACCAGGAACCUGGAGGGGACAGAGUGUCAGGUAGGUAGAGACCCCGCCCCAAACACGCUACUGUUACCAGGAACCUGGAGGGGACAGAGUGCCAGGUAGGUAGAGACCCUGCACCUCCCCAAACACGCUACUGUUACCAGGAACCUGGAGGGGACAGAGUGCCAGGUAGGUAGAGACCCUGCCCCAAACACGCUACUGUUACCAGGAACCUGGAGGGGACAGAGUGCCAGGUAGGUAGAGACCCUGCCCCAAACACGCUACUGUUACCAGGAACCUGGAGGGGACAGAGUGUCAGGUAGGUAGAGACCCUGCACCUCCCCAAACACGCUACUGUUACCAGGAACCUGGAGGGGACAGAGUGCCAGGUAGGUAGAGACCCUGCACCUCCCCAAACACGCUACUGUUACCAGGAACCUGGAGGGGACAGAGUGUCAGGUAGGUAGAGACCCUGCCCCAAACACGCUACUGUUACCAGGAACCUGGAGGGGACAGAGUGCCAGGUAGGUAGAGACCCUGCACCUCCCCAAACACGCUACUGUUACCAGGAACCUGGAGGGGACAGAGUGCCAGGUAGGUAGAGACCCUGCCCCAAACACGCUACUGUUACCAGGAACCUGGAGGGGACAGAGUGCCAGGUAGGUAGAGACCCCGCCCCAAACACGCUACUGUUACCAGGAACCUGGAGGGGACAGAGUGCCAGGUAGGUAGAGACCCCGCCCCAAACACGCUACUGUUACCAGGAACCUGGAGGGGACAGAGUGCCAGGUAGGUAGAGACCCUGCCCCAAACACGCUACUGUUACCAGGAACCUGGAGGGGACAGAGUGCCAGGUAGGUAGAGACCCUGCACCUCCCCAAACACGCUACUGUUACCAGGAACCUGGAGGGGACAGAGUGCCAGGUAGGUAGAGACCCCGCCCCAAACACGCUACUGUUACCAGGAACCUGGAGGGGACAGAGUGCCAGGUAGGUAGAGACCCUGCCCCAAACACGCUACUGUUACCAGGAACCUGGAGGGGACAGAGUGCCAGGUAGGUAGAGACCCUGCACCUCCCCAAACACGCUACUGUUACCAGGAACCUGGAGGGGACAGAGUGUCAGGUAGGUAGAGACCCCGCCCCAAACACGCUACUGUUACCAGGAACCUGGAGGGGACAGAGUGCCAGGUAGGUAGAGACCCUGCCCCUCCCCAAACACGCUACUGUUACCAGGAACCUGGAGGGGACAGAGUGCCAGGUAGGUAGAGACCCUACCCCAAACACGCUACUGUUACCAGGAACCUGGAGGGGACAGAGUGCCAGGUAGGUAGAGACCCUGCACCUCCCCAAACACGCUACUGUUACCAGGAACCUGGAGGGGACAGAGUGCCAGGUAGGUAGAGACCCUACCCCAAACACGCUACUGUUACCAGGAACCUGGAGGGGACAGAGUGUCAGGUAGGUAGAGACCCUGCACCUCCCCAAACACGCUACUGUUACCAGGAACCUGGAGGGGACAGAGUGUCAGGUAGGUAGAGACCCUGCACCUCCCCAAACACGCUACUGUUACCAGGAACCUGGAGGGGACAGAGUGCCAGGUAGGUAGAGACCCUGCACCUCCCCAAACACGCUACUGUUACCAGGAACCUGGAGGGGACAGAGUGCCAGGUAGGUAGAGACCCUGCCCCAAACACGCUACUGUUACCAGGAACCUGGAGGGGACAGAGUGCCAGGUAGGUAGAGACCCCGCCCCAAACACGCUACUGUUACCAGGAACCUGGAGGGGACAGAGUGCCAGGUAGGUAGAGACCCUGCCCCAAACACGCUACUGUUACCAGGAACCUGGAGGGGACAGAGUGCCAGGUAGGUAGAGACCCUGCCCCAAACACGCUACUGUUACCAGGAACCUGGAGGGGACAGAGUGCCAGGUAAGUAGAGACCCUGCACCUCCCCAAA